rnacentral:rRNA from 1 species
GACGAACGCUGGCGGCGUGCUUAACACAUGCAAGUCGAACGGAAAGGCCCUGCUUGCAGGGUACUCGAGUGGCGAACGGGUGAGUAACACGUGGGUGAUCUGCCCUGCACUUCGGGAUAAGCCUGGGAAACUGGGUCUAAUACCGGAUAGGAGCCAUUUUUAGUGUGAUGGUUGGAAAGUUUUUUCGGUGUAGGAUGAGCUCGCGGCCUAUCAGCUUGUUGGUGGGGUAAUGGCCUACCAAGGCGGCGACGGGUAGCCGGCCUGGGAGGGUGGACGGCCACAUUGGGACUGAGAUACGGCCCAGACUCCUACGGGAGGCAGCAGUGGGGAAUAUUGCACAAUGGGCGCAAGCCUGAUGCAGCGACGCCGCGUGGGGGAUGACGGCCUUCGGGUUGUAAACCCCUUUCGCUAGGGACGAAGCUUUUUGUGACGGUACCUAGAUAAGAAGCACCGGCUAACUACGUG